UGGCGAACGGGUGAGUAACACGUGGGGAACCUGCCCAUGAGAGGGGGAUAACAUUCGGAAACGGAUGCUAAUACCGCAUAGCUUCAAUGACCGCCUGGUCAUUGAACGAAAGACGGCUUUGCUGUCGCUCAUGGAUGGCCCCGCGGCGUAUUAGUUGGUUGGUGAGGUAACGGCUCACCAAGGCUUUGAUACGUAGCCGACCUGAGAGGGUGAUCGGCCACACUGGGACUGAGACACGGCCCAGACUCCUACGGGAGGCAGCAGUAGGGAAUCUUCCACAAUGGGUGCAAACCUGAUGGAGCAAUGCCGCGUGAAUGAAGAAGGUCUUCGGAUCGUAAAGUUCUGUUAUUAGAGAAGAACAAAGCAAGAAGUAACUGUCUUGCUUUUGACGGUACCUAACCAGAAAGUCACGGCUAACUACGUGCCAGCAGCCGCGGUAAUACGUAGGUGACAAGCGUUGUCCGGAAUUAUUGGGCGUA
rnacentral:rRNA from 1 species